rnacentral:rRNA from 1 species
CAGUCGCCACGGGAAUACGAAGGGUGCAAGCGUUACUCGGAAUUACUGGGCGUAAAGCGUGCGUAGGUGGUGGUUUAAGUCCGUUGUGAAAGCCCUGGGCUCAACCUGGGAAUUGCAGUGGAUACUGGGUCACUAGAGUGUGGUAGAGGAUAGUGGAAUUUCCGGUGUAGCAGUGAAAUGCGUAGAGAUCGGAAGGAACAUCUGUGGCGAAGGCGACUAUCUGGGCCUGUACUGACGCUCAUGCACGAAAGCGUGGGGAGCAAACAGGAUUAGAUACCCCGGUAGUCCCUGUCUCUUAUAC